GGUUUGUAAUUUACAAUUCUAUGGACUAAAUCCUAACAUUACUACAAAAACAGGAGGAUCGUCCACAGUAGUUAACUGAUGGAAGGACUGGCAGAACGUUGCUAAAGUGUGUAAGAUAUUAUGCUAAACCAGUUAUUUAGAAAGUAUUUGGGAAUAAGCCUAAAUAAUUCAUGGGGAGGAGGGGAGAACUUCCUGUCCUAGAAUUUCAAGGCUUUGAUUAUCCGGGCUUUCAGGACAUGAUACAGCCUGUGCCUCACAUCAUGGGCCAGUAGCAGAAAAGUGUCUUUUUGUCUUUAUUCUGACUCACUCUUAAUUUUCUUAAUACAUUUGUCACUGUUCAGUUCCUUUCAAUUUGUCGCACAGAUGUAGCAAGGCAAUAUUUUCAGCAGUAUUUUUACCUGUAAAAUACACGACAGAAUUAAUGAUAAAGUAGACAUUCCCCACAGGGAGGACAGUUGAGGAGCUGUUCUAUUAAAAAGUAGGUGAAGUGGUAGGGAGGGAAGAGAUCCAGCUUCUUAAUUACUCACUUAGUGAUGUCUCUAGUAUUAAUCUAAGCCUGCCCUUCACACAGCUGCUCCAGCUGCUUAGGGUUUAGUAUGAACGUGGUGCUCAGGGAAUGCUGCUCAAGUUAGUUGGACAUAUAAGCCAUGGUGGAUAGCAAGCUCCCUGGCUGGUUCUCUGUGCAUGCCACUCAAACCAUCUACCAUGCCCUCAAAACAGGCUGCUGGAGCCUUGCGCUGCUUUUAUAAUACAGAUGCACAUAGGUUGUUGGUAAGUAAUUUCUCAGCACUCCCAACUUCACAACAUAAAAUGUAAGCUUGUUAUAUACAAAACCAGUACAGUGUGCCAUAUUUAAAAACCUGCUCUAGUUCUCCUGCUCCUACAGGUUCAACAGCUGAAGUGUCAGGCUUUCCUCCCUUUUUUCUUAGGACUUCUGGACAUGCUCAGAUUUCACUUUCCAGGAAGUAUACUACAUUUAAGUUUUAAGCCAGCCCUGUCUUUUGAAGCAGUGCUUUAGUGGAGUUACUCCUGCAGUCCCCUGCAACACUAUUCUGUAGCUGACACUCUGAGUUGUCUUCAUACAGCUACAUAGCUAAGAUUUACUGGGCCCUGCUUCUACCUGUGAACAUCUUAUACAGUUUCUCAGCACAGGUGCAUCCCUGAGCUGUGUAGCUGGUGAUGUUUCCCUCCUGCUGCUUCUACAUCAAUAAGGCUGAUUGCCAUUUCUCUUUGUGGAGGUUGCUGCAGGGCACACUGUGUUUGACAAGCAGGCAACAGAAGGACCUUUUCUUUAGUAGAAGUGUAUAUAUGACAAUGCAUAGAAGAAUAUCUUUUCUGCUAAGAUGUUUUCUCUCCCUCUCACCUGAAGAAAGCCUGAAGGCAGUGAUGAUAUUCAAGGUAGGAGAUCCAGCUGGUUUGUUACUGCAAGGACUGAAACAAAAGAAAUGUUUGAAUUAAAAAUUCUUGGAAACAAUAUUUUUCUGUGUCAACUACAUAACCUCAAUGUAUCAUCUGAAUUUCCAGCUCCCUCCCUUGUACUUACCUCUUCUUUUCCAAUGUAAUACUAGUUAGCAAGUCCUUGCAUCGAAUGGGAUCAUUGACUUCUGAUGGUCUCAUACCCCACCUUUAUCCACUGUCUGCUUCAUAUGUGCUGUCCACUUGAUUUCUUUCAAAAUCUCAUAUAUUUAAAGGGGAAAAGAAAAUAAAAAUAGAGACCAGUUAAAGGAGAAA
ensembl:lncRNA